GCAGACGUUUAACCCACUCAGCCACCCAGGCGUCCCUCGGGUGUUGUAGCUCAGAGCGGUCAAGUCAUUCUCCCAGGGUCACACAGGCAAGGAGAAGGAGAAGCCGAGCUGAGAUGUGAGUCGAGGUGAGGUCCGGCGUCUGUGGUCCGUAACAACGGAUGGGGCGUACUGAGCAUUUACGAUGGGCUGGACACUGCUGGGAGCACAGCUUGCCUUGGAUUCCUUUGGUCCUCACCCAGGAAGGGUGCCCCCCAUUGGGCAGAUGCAGAGACUGAGUCACCCAGCGACAAGGAGUGGGACUGGACUUUGUGCCUGAAGAGCCUGGCCCCCAAACCUCUUUCUCUCAAGAGGCAUCAGGAAGCCAACAUCUCAGGACAGACCCUAAGCCUGCGACGCUGCCCCAUCUCAGAGUAAGGACUGGCUAUGUGGCCAAAAGGGCCCCAGGGCCCCAGGGCCAGGUUAAUAGCAGGAGCUGCUGUUCUCCUGCAGGAAAGCAGCUCCACCACCGGAGCUUGUGUUGGAUGAGGCCGACCUUGCUGCACAAGGACAUCCGAACCAGGGCCGGAGCUGCUUCUCAAAGGAGCGUUGCUCUGAAAAGCCCCUUCUGGAAACGCUUGUCCUGCAUGCCUCGUUCUCACGAGGGGCCAUCAGGCCUUGAAGAGCUGAAUCAGAAACUUCACUUAACACUGCAGAAAGCAGAGCCAUGUGGGUCUGUCCGGGUUCAACUUCCACAGCAUUUGUGCUCUGGCCGCGAAAUCCCAAGGCGGAAACCACUGGCCUCUCCGUGCAGGAAGAGGAAGUACAAGGGCUGGGAAGUCGGCAGAACUUGGACCGCAGCAGAAGUAAAUGGUGGUGACCAAGACCACGUGACCUACAAGACCUAAAGUAUGUAAUGUGUGGCCCGUUGCAGAAAAAGGUUGCUGAUCCUUGCACUAGACCUUGGGCUCUCUAAGGGCAAACUCUGCUUCUUGUCCAGCGAUGUAUAGCCGUCAGCAUCCAGUGCCAAGCCUGGAAAACAGAAGAGACUUAAUGAACAUUGACAAGUGGGCGGACAGUGUCCAUCUCCUCUGCGAGAACAUCCUUCCC